AUUGAACGCUGGCGGCAGGCCUAACACAUGCAAGUCGAGUGAGCGGCGGACGGGGGAGAAAUGUAUAGGGACUCCCCGAUAGAGGGGGGGAACGACUGGGAACGGUAGCUAAUACCGCAUACUAUCGGAUAACCCAUAUGGGAUUAGCUAGUAGGUGAGGGAAUGGCUCACCUAGGCGACGAUCUCUAGCUGGUCUCAGAGGGUGAUCAGCCACACUGGGACUGAGACACGGCCCAGACUCCUACGGAGGCAGCGUUGGGGAAUAUUGCACAAUGGGCGCAAGCCUGAUGGAGCCAUGCCGCGUGUAUGAAGAAGGCCCUAGGGUUGUAAAGUACUGUCAGUCGGGAGGCGUUACCGACAGAAGAAGCACCGGCUAACUACGUGCCAGCCGCCGCGGUAAUUC
rnacentral:rRNA from 1 species